rnacentral:rRNA from 1 species
AUGGCAUUUAAUAUUGAUAUUUCGGGCAAGCCAUUGUUCAUCGACGAGCUCAACCAAAGAGCGGAAGCACAAAAGAGGAAGAAGAGCAUUCGCACGAGUUCAUAUUCACAAGACGAGGACAAGUUGAUUUGCCAAUGUUGGAUGGAGAUUAGCCAAGAUCCGAGGACCGGCGCGCAACAAAAGGGCCUUGUUUUUUGGAAGAGAGUCCACAAAAUAUUCCAUGAAAGAAAGAUGUUUGAGCCCUACCAAAUUACGAGCAACCAUGGCAUCACCAUGAUUCAAAAGAGGUGGUUGUUCAUCCAACAAGAGUGCAACAAGUAUUGUGCCGCACUUGAGAGCAGUGAAGCACGGCCCGUGAGUGGUCUCGGCAUUGAGGACUUGGUAUGCUCUCCUCAUCCUAGUUCUUUCUUUGCUACGGCCAUGAGACUUCGGCCUUGUAUAUGUUUGCAUGUUCAUUUGUUGUUGAUCAUGUGGUGUAGGCAUUUCAAUCUUUGGAAGCAUUAA